GCCCUUAGAGUUUGAUCCUGGCUCAGGAUGAACGCUGGCGGCGUGCCUAACACAUGCAAGUCGAGCGAUCUUCUUCGGAAGAGAGCGGCGGACGGGUGAGUAACGCGUGGGUAACCUGCCUCAUACACAUGGAUAACAUACCGAAAGGUAUGCUAAUACAAGAUGACAUAAGAGAUUCGCAUGGAUUUCUUAUCAAAGCUCCGGCGGUAUGAGAUGGACCCGCGUCUGAUUAGCUAGUUGGUAAGGUAAUGGCUUACCAAGGCUUCGAUCAGUAGCCGACCUGAGAGGGUGAUCGGCCACAUUGGAACUGAGACACGGUCCAAACUCCUACGGGAGGCAGCAGUGGGGAAUAUUGCACAAUGGGCGAAAGCCUGAUGCAGCAACGCCGCGUGAGCGAUGAAGGCCUUCGGGUCGUAAAGCUCUGUCCUCAAGGAAGAUAAUGACGGUACUUGAGGAGGAAGCCCCGGCUAACUACGUGCCAGCAGCCGCGGUAAUACGUAGGGGGCUAGCGUUAUCCGGAUUUACUGGGCGUAAAGGGUGCGUAGGUGGUUUCUUAAGUCAGGAGUGAAAGGCUACGGCUCAACCGUAGUAAGCUCUUGAAACUGGGAAACUUGAGUGCAGGAGAGGAAAGUGGAAUUCCUAGUGUAGCGGUGAAAUGCGUAGAUAUUAGGAGGAACACCAGUAGCGAAGGCGGCUUUCUGGACUGUAACUGACACUGAGGCACGAAAGCGUGGGGAGCAAACAGGAUUAGAUACCCUGGUAGUCCACGCCGUAAACGAUGAGUACUAGGUGUCGGGGGUUACCCCCCUCGGUGCCGCAGCUAACGCAUUAAGUACUCCG
rnacentral:rRNA from 1 species